UACGUAGGGUCCGAGCGUUGUCCGGAAUUAUUGGGCGUAAAGGGCUCGUAGGCGGUUUGUCGCGUCGGGAGUGAAAACUCAGGGCUCAACCCUGAGCGUGCUUCCGAUACGGGCAGACUAGAGGUAUGCAGGGGAGAACGGAAUUCCUGGUGUAGCGGUGGAAUGACGCAGAUAUCAGGAGGAACACCGGUGGCGAAGGCGGUUCUCUGGGCAUUACCUGACGCUGAGGAGCGAAAGCGUGGGGAGCGAACAGG
rnacentral:rRNA from 1 species